UCUCCGUUGGUGAACCAGCGGAGGGAUCAUUACAGAGUUUUCUAAACUCCCAACCCUAUGUGAACUUACCUUUGUUGCCUCGGCGGAGCCUACCCGGUAACGACUCCUUAAUUGGGGGAACCUACCCUGUAGCCCGCCGGUGGAUCUCCAAACUCUUGUUAUUAUAACUGUAAUCUGAAUGUCUUAUUUUAAUAAGUCAAAACUUUCAACAACGGAUCUCUUGGUUCUGGCAUCGAUGAAGAACGCAGC
rnacentral:misc_RNA from 1 species